rnacentral:lncRNA from 1 species
CUGCGGUCUGGGCUUCUCUGCCUACGAGCUUGGGGGAGAGUUUGAGAACGUGGUCGAGCUUCACUCGACCCUUUUUCAGCUGUGGGCUUGCUGGAGUCGCUCGCCUACCGCUCCUUCACGGCCUCCUCAUCCUUCAGUUUGAAGGCUUUCUCUGCUCGGGCAUAUCCUUCGGCCCGAGCUAGCAAAUCAGCAAAAUUUCUGGGAUACUUCUUUUCUAGA